AGAACGAACGCUGGCGGCAUGCCUAACACAUGCAAGUCGAACGAGACCUUCGGGUCUAGUGGCGCACGGGUGCGUAACGCGUGGGAAUCUGCCCUUGGGUACGGAAUAACAGCGAGAAAUUGCUGCUAAUACCGUAUAAUGACUUCGGUCCAAAGAUUUAUCGCCCAGGGAUGAGCCCGCGUAGGAUUAGCUUGUUGGUGAGGUAAAAGCUCG
rnacentral:rRNA from 1 species